CGCUGGCGGCGUGCCUAAUACAUGCAAGUCGAACGGUCUUUCUAUGGAAGCUUGCUUCCACUGAAAAGAUAGUGGCGAACGGGUGAGUAACACGUGGGUAACCUGCCCAUAAGAGGGGGAUAACAUCCGGAAACGGGUGCUAAUACCGCAUAGUUUUCUUGAUCGCAUGAUCGGGAAAGGAAAGACGGCCUUUGUGCUGUCGCUUAUGGAUGGACCCGCGGCGUAUUAGUUAGUUGGUGAGGUAACGGCUCACCAAGACGAUGAUACGUAGCCGACCUGAGAGGGUGAUCGGCCACAUUGGGACUGAGACACGGCCCAAACUCCUACGGGAGGCAGCAGUAGGGAAUCUUCCGCAAUGGACGAAAGUCUGACGGAGCAACGCCGCGUGAGUGAAAGAAGGUUUUCGGAUCGUAAAACUCUGUUGUCAGAGAAGAACAAGUUGGAGAGUAACUGCUCCAGCCUUGACGGUAUCUGACCAGAAAGCCACGGCUAACUACGUGCCAGCCGCCGC
rnacentral:rRNA from 1 species